rnacentral:rRNA from 1 species
UCAUAGUGAUCCGGUGGUUCUGAAUGGAAGGGCCAUCGCUCAACGGAUAAAAGGUACUCCGGGGAUAACAGGCUGAUACCGCCCAAGAGUUCAUAUCGACGGCGGUGUUUGGCACCUCGAUGUCGGCUCAUCACAUCCUGGGGCUGAAGUAGGUCCCAAGGGUAUGGCUGUUCGCCAUUUAAAGUGGUACGCGAGCUGGGUUUAGAACGUCGUGAGACAGUUCGGUCCCUAUCUGCCGUGGGCGCUGGAGAACUGAGGGGGGCUGCUCCUAGUACGAGAGGACCGGAGUGGACGCAUCACUGGUGUUCGGGUUGUCAUGCCAAUGGCACUGCCCGGUAGCUAAAUGCGGAAGAGAUAAGUGCUGAAAGCAUCUAAGCACGAAACUUGCCCCGAGAUG